rnacentral:lncRNA from 1 species
CUUUGAUGCUGAGCUGAUUGUGAAGAAUAUGUUCACCAACCAGGACCGGAAUGGAGAUGGGAAGGUCACAGCUGAGGAAUUUAAACUCAAAGACCAGGAAGCCAAACAGGAUGAACUCUAAACCUGGCACGAACCAGAUGGUGCCAGGGAGUACGUGACACCAAGCCAACUGUGUGGCAGAACGUGCAGUGAGGGUGCAAGGGUCUUUCAGAAGUUGCAUCAUUAGCCAGUAGUAGAUGAGCUGCUGAGCAUCAACAAGGUGACAUUUUUCUGCUGCCCAUUUGUGUCCUGGAGACGGUGGUACCCUGAAGGCAGAGGCCAGCUGCUGCAAGACAGCAAUGACAGUCCACCUGCCGGCCUGAUUCCUGCAUCAUGGAAUAACCACAUGGCUACCUUCUAUCCUCUGUUCCCAAAUGGUGGUGGCACUUAUCCUGAAGUCAUCAAUGAUUUCCCUUUGAAACUACUUUAUUUUACUAAUUUAAACUAUUUUGUACUGAUGUAGCCCUGAGGUAGU